GCAGGAAACGGGCCUCGUGCCGGCCCUCUCUCCCUCCCUCCCUCCCUCUCUGUCUCUCUGUCUCUCUGUCUCUGUAUGUCUCUCUGUCUCUGUCUCCUCCAGGGGAAGCCUGGCUGCAGCUCCCAGGGCUGGGCGGGUUGCCUCCUAUCAGCCUGGGGGGGUGGGGGAAGCUGGUGUGGCCAACAGCACCUGGAGCUGGCGGUGGGGUGCUGACCAGGACGGCGUCACCGAGGCCGCCUGCCCGUCGUCCCCGUGCCAUGCAAGCCGUGUUUCUUGGCGGUCUUCAUGGACUUCGAGAGAUGUCCAGACAUCGUGGAGCAUCCCACAGCGGGACAAAUCACCCCAGCUGAGAACCCCCACGUCGGGUGCGUGUGGGGACAGGGAGGCCUGUCUUAGCCACCUCCUGUUCACGGUGGACGCUCAACACCCGAUACUGGACAGAUGACACCAGUCGCGGCUUACCAGUGACGUGGACUAACGGCCCAGCCACGCAGGGCCACGGCAGUUGCACUUGGGAACAGAAUGAGCCCGCCGGGGCUGUGGGCGGCAGGCUUUGUGGUAGCAAGAGGGCGAGGUGCCCCUUUCCUGUGGGAGCACCUGACGGGGUCGUGUGAACAAUCUCGUGGGCUGACAAGGGACCUGAAGCCCGCUGUUCAGGGCCGAGCAGGUGCUGUGCUCCAUCUGACAAGGACGAGCCUCUCCGUGGGAGCUGGAGGAGGCCUCCAGCUCGGUGGCUCGAGGCCCCCUGGUUUCAGGUGUCAAGGCAGGAUGUCACAUCGGGUCUUAAUUCUAGGCCUUCCACUGAAGGCCCCUGGGCUCUUGCAUGGCAGGGGCUGAAGCCGUCCCAUGGCCGGGUCACUGGGGAAGGCCCGGCGUUGCCAGCAGGGUCAGUGUGUGAACCCGGGCUGUGACUGCUUCCCUUGAGAUGCCCGUGGCCUGGAGCUCUGUGGGACCGUUCCUCCCCACUCCCCACCCCUAUGCGCUUUGGUCGACUUCCUUUUCUAGGUUGUAUUCACCUGUGCAAAUGUUUGCGUGCCCAGCUCCCGGGGUGGAGCUGCGUUUCGGAGGAGAGAGCCUCUCGCUCUCACUGCUUGUUUAAUUCUUUUCCUCUCCCAGGGACACUCAGCGUCUAUUUUCUCCUGCACGCACGCACAGGUCCUGUCUGAGGGGCGAUUAAGAACGCUUUGCCUUUCUGCCCUGGAAGUGAACCUGCAGCGAAAGGUGAUUCACCGGAAAAGAGUGAGUGUGCACGUUGUCUGCUCCUGGUAGGAGUCAGCGUUGGGAGGACCAUGCGGGUUCCGGGGUCUGUCCCUCCAGCUCGGAUCGCAGGCUGCAGGCAGCGCGUCCGUUUUCGCCGUAGAUGGACGGGCAGAAAAUCAAUGUUUUGCUCUGCUGACAAGGACACCCUGACAGCUCAAAGGUAGGAGACCAUUAAAUACCACAGAUACACGAUUCACGGCGGAGGUGAAGCUUCGAGCGACCGCUGGGGGUGCCCCCCGCCCCCCCACCCCAGGAGUGCGGUGGCUGAGAUGCAGGAGAGCAGAGUUUUUUCUUGUUUUUUUUUUUUUUUAACAUUUGAAAACUUUUUAUUAUGAAAAAAUUGUAGACUUAAGAAGCGUCCUGGAGAUGGGGCGCCUGGGUGGCUCAGUCAGUUAAGGGGCCGACUUCGGCUCAGGUCAUGAUCUCGCGGUCCAUGAGUUCGAGCCCCGCGGCGGGCUCUGUGCUGACAGCUCGCAGCCUGGAGCCUGCUUCGGAUUCCGUGUCUCCCCCUCUCGCUCUGCCCCUCCCCCACUCACGUUCUGUCUCUCUCUUUCUCAAAAAUAAAUAAACAUUAAAAAAAUUAAAACUUUCGCCCCCACUCUUGGCAUUUGUUGGUGCAUGGAGCGUUUGGUUUGAAUUCCAGAAGCUCUAUGAGCAGCCUUCCCUCCCCUCCUCUGCAGAAUCAAACUCAGGUUGCCAAUAGCCUUGAGGCAAAGUCCUUGUAAAGUCCGCUGCGAGUUAGCGGACCCAGGGAAACUGUCACUACGCGUGUCACACAUCAAGGUGACACAAUUACGUGAGCGGCUCCAAGAAGCCGUUCUGUCCAGAUAUUCCUGUGACAGAAAUGACCCAGGGGCUCUGCUCGUGUCUCAGGUUCUGGUCGCAAAUGUGACUUUUAGGGUUCGAUCAGAAGUCACCCGUGGCUUCAAGCCCCCAUCGCUGCCACCAGCGUGUCACUUCUGUCAAGAGGCGUGUGUGCAGUUAAUACACGGGAAACUAAUUAUAACAAACACAUCAGGUAUCAGCAGCACAGCACAAAUCCGGCCUCCCAUCGACUGAUGGCAGUCAUCUUGGACACACACGCCCUCAGCCCUGGUUUUACACCUUCGGGACUGUUCUACUUUGUGUCGGUCUGUCACUUUGCGGGUGUGCUCACCGCAGGCUCCGCUUGGCGAUGCACCUGGGGUAUGUGUGCACAGAAUCGCGAGGGUGUUUCUCGCUGCCAGUAGUCUCGCUGCUUUGUUCCGACUCUUCUCUGGUACGCGACGGAAAGUGUACGAGAAAAGAAUACAGAAGUGAGACCCGAAA